GAUGAACGCUAGCUACAGGCUUAACACAUGCAAGUCGAGGGGCAGCAUGAAAGGAACUUCGGUUCUUUUUGAUGGCGACCGGCGCACGGGUGCGUAACGCGUAUCGAACCUGCCUCAUACUCGGGGAUAGCCUUGCGAAAGUAAGAUUAAUACCCGGCGGUCUCGGACGGCCGCAUGACAGUCCGAGUGAAGAUUUAUCGGUAUGAGAUGGGCGAUGCGUCCCAUUAGCUUGUUGGUGGGGUAAUGGCUCACCAAGGCAUCGAUGGGUAGGGGUUCUGAGAGGAAGGUCCCCCACAUUGGAACUGAGACACGGUCCAA
rnacentral:rRNA from 1 species